rnacentral:tRNA from 1 species
GAUUAGGUAUUUUAAUAAAAAAAUAAGUUUUGCAUACUUAAAUUGAGUUUAUCUUCUCCCUAGUUA